GCAAACUUGGUCAUUUAGAGGAAGUACAAGUCGUAACAAGGUAUCCGUAGGUGAACCUGCGGAUGGAUCAUUACCAAGAGUUUGUCUCUGCGUAUUGUGAACAGUAUGGAAGAGUGCAUUGGGGUUUCGUGCCCCGGCGCAAUCAACACAUAAUCAUGCUCUGAGUCUGUUUUGGCGCUUGCGCGGAAACAAUACAACUUUUAGCAAUGGAUCUCUUGGCUCUCGUAACAAGGUAUCCGUAGGUGAACCUGCGGAUGGAUCAUUACCAAGAGUUUGUCUCUGCGUAUUGUGAACAGUAUGGAAGAGUGCAUUGGGGUUUCGUGCCCCGGCGCAAUCAACACAUAAUCAUGCUCUGAGUCUGUUUUGGCGCUUGCGCGGAAACAAUACAACUUUUAGCAAUGGAUCUCUUGGCUCUCGCAUCGAUGAAGAACGCAGC
rnacentral:misc_RNA from 1 species